CCUACGGGGGGCAGCAGUGAGGAAUAUUGGUCAAUGGCCGGAAGGCUGAACCAGCCAAGCCGCGUGAAGGACGAAGGUGCCAAGCAUUGUAAACUUCUUUUGCCAAGGGACAAAAUCAGGCUCGAGAGCCUGACCGAGGGUACUUGAAGAAAAAGCAUCGGCUAACCCGGUGCCAGCAGCCGCGGUAAUAUGGUGGAUGCGAGCGUUACCGGGAUUUAUUGGGUUUAAAGGGUGUGUAGGCGGGCGGUUAAGUCAGCGGUAAAAGCCCGGGGCUAAACCCCGGCGAGCCGUUGAAACUGGCUGUCUGGAGAUGUCGAGAGGUAUGCGGAAUGCGCAGUGUAGCGGUGAAAUGCGUAGAUAUUGCGCAGAACUCCGAUUGCGAAGGCGGCAUACCGGCGGCGAUCUGACGCUGAGGCGCGAAAGCGUGGGUAUCGAACAGGAUUAGAUACCCGGGUAGUC
rnacentral:rRNA from 1 species